rfam:Danio rerio chromosome 4, GRCz11 reference primary assembly.
GCAUUGGUGGUUCAGUGGUAGAAUUCUCACCUGCCAUGCGGGAGACCCGGGUCCGAUUCUUGGCCAAUGCA